rnacentral:rRNA from 1 species
UACGUAGGGUGCAAGCGUUGUCCGGAAUUAUUGGGCGUAAAGAGCUCGUAGGUGGCCUGUCGCGUCGGCUGUGAAAACUCGGGGCUCAACUCCGAGCUUGCAGUCGAUACGGGCAGGCUAGAGUUCGGCAGGGGAGACUGGAAUUCCUGGUGUAGCGGUGAAAUGCGCAGGUAUCAGGAGGAACACCGGUGGCGAAGGCGGGUCUCUGGGCCGAUACUGACACUGAGGAGCGAAAGCGUGGGGAGCGAACAGG